CUGAUAAUACAUAAACAUGUUUUAUGUGUGUUUAUGCUGAAAGACCCCUUGUUUAAUAUAUAUCUUGUUGCUUCCUUACCUUUGGACUCAUGGCAAGUAGCACCAUAACUCAUGGCUGGACGAAGCUUCUGUGGCACAGGUGUUUUCUCUAUAAGGCGCAUCACAACCUUCUUGGGCUCAGGAGCAGUGGACAGCAGCACUUCAGCAUUAUGUUUGGGGGCCGUUUUCAACAGGAACAUCACAAAAAAAAGCAAAAACUGUGUAAAGGCAUGUCACUUAAACUACAAAUUUGCAGUAUGAGAGUGAAGCUAGGAGGGAAAGUGUCACCUUGUUCAACUCUGCUGGGAACAUGUGUGUCGGAAAACUCAAAUUUUUUGUUCUGCACACGUCCGUGAAUGACCACAGAGGUGCCUGUGAGUGCUGAUCUGAGGGUUGCAAAUACAUUUUGGCAGGUAGGUGAGUUUGCAAAUAUAGAAUCUGACUAUAUAGCAUUGACUAUAAUUUCAAAAUCAGUGUUAAAAGAUAAACUAGGAGUGGGAGUGGGGUGCAAAAUGGCAGCAGGUUUUCUGGGAAUCUCCAGCACAUUUGGGAUGGCUCACUCAGCAGCUCCAUGUACAGACCCCAUGGUAUCAGCUUGCCUUCAUGUUGGAGGGGCAAGGAGGACGAAGAGCGGAGGGGUGGCUCCUGGAGCAGUAAGGAGAAAAUGAGGUCAUGGUGUCAGGCACCAAGGAUCCAGGAAGUGAGGGUACAAAAAGCACUGGGAGAAUUCUCUGGAAUCAGGAUGACUGAGCAUGAACACCUCGGGCUGGGAAGAGGAAGAGGAGCAGGAAGAACAAGGCCACUGUGAAGGGCAGAACCACCCUGUGAUUUGGGUCAGGGCAGAGAAAGCUCAGACAGACUAGCCCUUUGGCACAGGGCUAGGGCUGCUACCCUCCCGCUUUGAGUCCUGGAAGUGCGUUUUUUACUUUUUCAGCCAGUUGUGCCACCCUCUGUGAGCCGCAGGAGAGAGGACAGCAGUGGGUUCCUGUUCCACCCGUUCAGAGCACAUUAGGGUUGUCUAGGGUAGAGGCCUCACACCAUGGCCUUUCUCAUAGAUGACUUAAGGAAGGAUGUAGAACUGGUUUUCAGUCACAAAGAGAAAAUUAAAGCUGGAGAUUUGAUCCUACAAGAGGUCUUUGAACUUAUAAAUGCAGAUGCAUAUGUGUCAAGAAUGGGGACUGGCAAAGACUGUAUCCGUAGUUUGAACUUAAUAGUUUUUGGUAUGUACUUGAAAAGAUAAAAUAUCCCAGGAUGUUUAACUUUAGAGAGUCAUUCUAUUGUGUUGCACAGUAAAUGAUUUUCACAAGGUUUUGGCUGAGAUACUCAGUAUCAAUAUGCAGGAAUGGUUUCAAUAUGUGGUAGGCCAGUAAAAACAAAGUCACCGUGACCCGCGCUUUGCAGUUCUAAGAGGGACAGAAGCGCAAGUAGUGAUCAUUAAUUCCAGUUUGGGGGACCACUGUAACUGCAGCCGCACACCUCCAGCCUGCCCCCGGCUCUGUGUCCCCUUAGGGAGGGAAGCAUACUGCUGCACUCGGUGGCUUCUGAGGAGGACACAGACAUGACAUGGUUAUGUGGCAAGGCCUGAGCCUAGGCCCUUUGGAACUGGGGAGUUGUGGUUUCAUGUGGAAUCAUGGAAUCCAUAGAAUUGGCCACUGGGCUUGGAAAACUCACAUUAGCAGUGAGCCUCAUCCAGGGGAAAUAGGACCUCCCUACUUGCCCCCUCUGGUUGCUGCUGGCUCUGCAGGCAGGAGUGUUGCCCAGAGCCUUUGACUCACUUCCCUGCCUCCGGGGCAGUCAGAUCCAAGUACUGGAGUGAGGAAGGCCUCUGUUACUAUCUGCACUCCCUUCCUCUUCUCCCCUGGUGGGGAUGGGGGAUAGCUUUCCUUCCUGGUGUUAAAAUGGAGCGAAGCAUGUGGGAGGGCAGAGGUUCAGGUAAGAAAAGUGAGGAUGGUAUCUGGAAGCCUACACACCAUACUCAAAUAGUGCUCAAAAUACGAACGCUUUGUUUUUUAUUUUUUAUUGAGUUAUAGUUAAUUGACGUGUAACAUUUUUAGGUGUACAAUAUAAUGAUUCAGUAUUUGUUUACAUGGUGAAAUGAUCACUGUAAGUCUGGUUAACACCUAUAACCAUGGAGACAAUUUUUUGUAAUUGAUAUUAUCUUGUACUGAAGCCCCUAUUUGUACAGAGUCACUAAAAAAUUAUAUAUACCCACUUAAGAAAUUGAAUUCUUCUGGUUUGAAGCAAUAUUUUCCAGGUAAGCUCAGAUUCUGCAGGCUUUAGCUUUUUUUUUUUUUUUUUUUUCCCUCAGCCCUUCUCCUUCUCUCAGCUCCUCGUGUCCUUCUCUCUGAGUGACAUCUGGUUUCAGGGAAAGGCUUACAUAACAUUAUCAACAUCGAGGGCAGGGCCAGGAUGUGUUGUACACAUGUUGUCCUUCUCUGCAGGCUGCUGUUGAUUUCUCUUCGAGGUGUAGCUAAUCUUCUCUCUCUUUGGGAGUUCGUUUCUGCUCAGGGCAGAUUGUCAGUGGUAGGUGUCUCAUGAUGGUCCAGGUGGGCCCAAGCAGUGCCUAGUGGUACCCCAGGAUGAGCAUCCUCCACUUUGCCUGUCACCGCUAUGGACCCUCUGAUGCUUAGCCAGAUACUCGCAUCAGAACUGGUCUUAGGUGGCCUGUUUUUUAGCUUCUGCUAUAGGAUUCUCUUGCCACAUGCCAGGCAACCUCUUGCAAACACUCUCUUAAUUCUUGGCUGCCUUCUCCUGUGUCCACCACAGGGCUCCUGGGGAACUUCUAGAUGUCCUCAUGUCCAGUGUAGCCCAUGGAGAAACAAGAAAAUUUUAACUCUGGCCCAUCUGCUUCGGCAUUUCCCCUGGCCAGUGAUAAUCUGCUGUCCUCAACUGCAUGGAAUCGUGUGUGUGUGUGUGUGUACGUACAUGGGCCAGCCUAACUAUUUUUUGUGUUUACCAGUUUAUUUAAAGGAUCUAGUAAAGGGUGUAGGAGAACACCUAGAUGAAAGAGGCAUGCAGGGGAAGGUAUGUGGGAAAGGGUGUGGAGCUUUCAUGCCCUCUCCAGGUGCAGCACCCUCCCAGCACCUCCAUGUGCUCACCAGUCUGGAAACUCUGAAGCCUAUCAUUUAGGAUUCUUAUGGAAGAUUCAUUAUAUAGGGGCAUUGAUUAAAUCACUGGCCUAAAUAUUUUUGGAUUUGCCUAUUUGCCCAUCUGGAAUGUUUUUCACCUCCUUCUCCCUCUUCUUCCAGGGCCAAGCCUGUGGUAGGUGAGGAGAUGGGUGGAAAGUUUACCUACUUCUCCUUCUGUCUGGCAGGAAUUGCCUUACAUCUUGUUCUCUGUGCCCUCUGCAUUGUGGCUAAUGCUCAACCUCCAUGCUUAGUCCCCUGAGCUUUGUUCUUAAUUUGUACAAAGAUGCUUUUUGAGUAGAAAUAAUCCUUUUUUUCUCCUUCAACAAAACUGACUUCUAAGAUAGUAGUUUCUAACUUGAGAAAUCUAAU
rnacentral:lncRNA from 1 species